AAUCCAUGCAUAGGACACUUCCGUAAAAAUUCUUUGAAUCUUUCUCAUGCUUCAUACAUACUUUUAUCCUCCAUUAGCUUAAAUGAAGUUAAAUCAUUUCGAAGUUU